GUGGGUACUUGCAACUAGAGUUGGUGCUGACACAAGUGCUACAGUUGGGGCUGACUCUUAAGGCCCAAGUUAGAUGCAGUCUGUUCCAGUCCUAGUCCCUCUGCAUGUCUAGGGCCUUAAGCGGGCAGAGUCUGGUGACCAGGUGGGGGGUCUCCUCUCCACCUGUCGAAUGAGCGCUGUCAGCAUUGGGGGGUACCACGGUCUGCGGGUGGGCUCGGCCCUGCUCAGCAUCGUGGCGGGGUGCAUCAUUAUCGGGGUGUCGAGGGAGUGUGAUGCGGAUGCCGUAGGGGGAAUCUUCCUCGGUGCGGGGGGGCUGGGCCUCCUCAUUGCUGUCUUCCCCUUCAUAAGAGCCUGGCUCAACAUUAACAACAUUCUCCCCACCUUGGGAACCUUCAGAGUGCACCCUAUGCCUGCUAACCCUCCUGGCCCUGAGCAACCAGAGACACUGAAACGAGAAGCGACUCAGAGCCAGCUGAAUCUGGAGCGCUCUAAGAGCCGGAUGGGGACAUUUGUUGAUGCCGGACCGAUGGCUGAGGCCUCCGCAGAUGAGGGGACAUCCUCAGACAUGCCAGACAUCUUGUCCAGACGAAAGUUCAAGCAGACCCUCCCUGAUCCAGACCUCCCGUAAAUUGGUUUUAUAGCAGCCACACAGCACACAUCUCUCGUACACGCCUACCCUCAAAUGGACUUCACAAGUUGGUGAAUCAGAUGUUUACUUACUUCAACAAUACAAUUCAAAAGCUACAUACUGUGCCUUCUCCUAACUAUCGAGAGGAGUACAUAUUUUCUUCCACAAUGUCUCAUUUUAUUAGCAAUAUUAUUUGUGUGUGUGUGUGUGUGACUCAAGUAAUAUGAUAUUUUACUUUUGAAAAGAGCCAACAACUACAGACUAAACUCAAAUAAAGCCUACGACUUCAUGGAAAAAUAAACCUGGUAAAAAUCUCACAGCCUUCACAAACCAAUACACGCUAUAAAGAUACAAAUGCAUUUGUUAGAUACAACAAUGCAACUUAAUUUUAAAAGCUUCUAUAAAAAUCUAUGUAAAUCAGAAUUUAACAACAGCUGGACUGAUCCUACAGCCUUGGUAGGCACAAUAACCCUGAAGCAAAUAUCAGCAGAUUAAAAAAUAAUCACAAAAAAAAUGAAAUCAACCAAAAAUAAAUAUUAGACACUCUUAAAAAAUAUAUGUAUUAAACAC
ensembl:lncRNA